rnacentral:lncRNA from 1 species
CCAGCGCCUACUUGCUGACAAGCUGCCCAACUGCCAUGGAAUGUUUAGGAGAGGGGAAAGAUGCUCAAAUUGGCCUUUCACUUGGAUGGAUCUAGGAGCCGUAGGAAAGAGAGAACAUGAAUCUUGAGCACAUUCAAAUGUGUCUGCAGAUCUGCCCAAUGGACUGGACAGAAAGGAGAAAAUUGAGGAAUAUGUUUGGAAGAAAGUUCCAGAGCCUAGAGAUCAGUGGGAAGACUGGUUCCAAGAAAAGUGUGAAGUUAGCCUGGCCAUUGUCUACCACAGCACCACCUCCACCCUUGGAGCACCGGUGACGUCUGAGAAGGGAAAGCCAGGCCCGUGGUAUAAUUGAGGAAUCUGACUGUCCUGGUGUGGAAAACCCCUACCAAGGAGCUGGAUAAAAAACAUAGAGGAACUUAUGGCCAGCCGGAGAGAAGAGCCCCAUUAGUUCGGGAGUAGGGAGAACAGCAUCCAGUUGACUGUCAAGAACACGGAAACAGGAGGAGCAGCCGUCUCUGAAAGAAUCAAGCUCUGAAAUUAAGAGAAGACAUAGUUUGAAGGAAAGCAGACACUCUUUGGGAUCAACGUAUUGGGGCUUCUACUCCUGAUAGGUCUACGGUCUUAGACAAGUUAACCCGCAUCCUUGAGUAAACUGGAUAUCAUAACACCCACCAUCCAGGACAAUUGUGGAGGAGACACUGUAAAAUGUGUCACAUUAAAUGGAGAAAAUUUUUAAGAUUCCUCUGCCUGUUCCUUGAUUUUGUAGUGGACCUUGAUUGUCUAUGAUUGAGAGCACUCUUGCAAGGUGGUCUUUGCAGCAAGAAAGCUCAUGGAAAAGAAGUCAUUUUGAGUGGAGAUGCAAUAAACUAAUUUAUUAUUUUGGUUCUUUCAUUAAUCUUACUAAUCCAAGGGUGAUGCUUCAGGGCAAGGAUUAACUUUGCAAACCUAGGUAACAGUUCUCUGACAUAUGAAAAUCCAGAGAGGAAAGGUUUCUUGAGCAACAUUUCCCAAACAAAUAAGAUGUAGGGCACAGCCCCAAACAUCUAUCCUUGCAACUUCAUUGAGGUGUUGGCUAAUGAAUUUGCAGACAAAGGGAAAGUCAAUGGCUCUCCUUUAUCUCAUUGUUUCUCAGGACUCCCUUUCUUUCUCCCUACUCUGAGCGGGUACUGCAAAGGUGUGAUUUUUGAAGAGGUUAUCUGGA